UACGUAGGGUGCGAGCGUUAAUCGGAAUUACUGGGCGUAAAGCGUGCGCAGGCGGUUCUGUAAGUCUGUCGUGAAAUCCCCGGGCUUAACCUGGGAAUUGCGAUGGAGGCUGCAAGGCUAGAAUCUGGCAGAGGGGGGUAGAAUUCCACGUGUAGCAGUGAAAUGCGUAGAUAUCUGGAGGAACAUCGGUGGCGAAGGCGGCAUCCUGGACCGGUAUUGACGCUGAGGCGCGAAAGCGUGGGGAGCAAACAGG
rnacentral:rRNA from 1 species